UACGAAGGGGGCUAGCGUUGUUCGGAAUUACUGGGCGUAAAGCGCACGUAGGCGGGUUGUUAAGUCAGGGGUGAAAUCCUGGAGCUCAACUCCAGAACUGCCUUUGAUACUGGCAACCUAGAGACUGGAAGAGGUUAGUGGAAUUCCCAGUGUAGAGGUGAAAUUCGUAGAUAUUGGGAGGAACACCAGUGGCGAAGGCGACUACCUGGCCUGUUCUUGACGCUGAGGCGCGAAAAGCUAGGGGAGCA
rnacentral:rRNA from 1 species